rnacentral:tRNA from 1 species
CCCUGGUGGCUUAGAGGUUAAAGCGUCUGCCUACAAUGCAGGAGACCCAGGUUCGAUCCCUGGAUCAGGAA